rnacentral:rRNA from 1 species
UACGGAGGGUGCAAGCGUUAUCCGGAUUCACUGGGUUUAAAGGGAGCGUAGGUGGCUUUGUAAGUCAGUGGUGAAAUGUCGCGGCUCAACCGCGAAACUGCCAUUGAUACUGCUUAGCUUGAAUCACGUCGAGGUGGGUGGAAUAUUACAUGUAGCGGUGAAAUGCUUAGAUAUGUAAUAGAACACCGAUUGCGAAGGCAGUUCACUAGGCGUGUAUUGACACUGAGGCUCGAAAGCGUGGGGAUCAAACAGG